GCAAGAUUAAAACUCAAAGGAAUAGACGGGGACCCGCACAAGCGGUGGAGCAUGUGGUUUAAUUCGAAGAUACGCGAAGAACCUUACCUGGGCUUGAUAUCCUAAGAACCUUUUAGAGAUAAGAGGGUGCUAGCUUGCUAGAACUUAGAGACAGGUGCUGCACGGCUGUCGUCAGCUCGUGUCGUGAGAUGUUGGGUUAAGUCCCGCAACGAGCGCAACCCACGUAUUUAGUUGCUAACGGUUCGGCCGAGCACUCUAAAUAGACUGCCUUCGUAAGGAGGAGGAAGGUGUGGACGACGUCAAGUCAUCAUGGCCCUUAUGCCCAGGGCGACACACGUGCUACAAUGGCAUAUACAAUGAGACGCAAUACCGCGAGGUGGAGCAAAUCUAUAAAAUAUGUCCCAGUUCGGAUUGUUCUCUGCAACUCGAGAGCAUGAAGCCGGAAUCGCUAGUAAUCGUAGAUCAGCCAUGCUACGGUGAAUACGUUCCCGGGUCUUGUACUCACCGCCCGUCACACCAUGGGAGUUGAUUUCACUCGAAGCCGGAAUACUAAACUAGUUACCGUCCACAGUGGAAUCAGCGACUGGGGUGAAGUCGUAACAAGGUAACCGUAGGAGAACCUGCGGUUGGAUC
rnacentral:rRNA from 1 species